rnacentral:snRNA from 14 species
GCCCUCGCUUGGGCAGCACACACCCUAAAAUUGGAACGACACAGAGGAGAUUAGCAACGGUCUUGCACAAGAAUGACAUGGAAAUUGAUGACGCUUUCCAUAUUUAA